AUCAGAUUGACGAGUCCUAAAUAGGACGAAACGCGCGUCCUGGAU
rnacentral:hammerhead_ribozyme from 1 species